rnacentral:misc_RNA from 1 species
GGUCUAGGCAUUAGUUGUGGUUGCAUCCUUGAUUUGCUUGAGUGAUUCAGCAAGGUCAUCUAGCAGCCUGUGAGGAUCGGGAAUAGUCAGUUCAUCCACAGCGACAACCAUCGUCAACUUGUUCACGUAACUCUGAAAGUGAAGGGUAAGGGCCUGUGGAUUGCCAUAUACACUGGGGGCGAUGUAGAUAAUUGGAUGGCCAUAUAACGCAAUUUCGUCAACUGGCCCAAAGACAUUGGAGAAAGUUAGGGUCGUGUUUUUUAGCACUCUACAAUACAGAGUUGCAGCAACCUUAGCGCCUAAGAAUUUGAUAGCCCAAAAGGUCCACUUGUGUGUGAAGAGUGCUUCAAGGGAGUUCUUCUUCCUCUGUGCAGUAGCCCUCCCUUUGCGAACAUAAUCUAGGGGGUCCUCGCAAUUGAAGAUGGUAAACGGCAUGAUCAUGAUACCGAAACAAUUUCCCGAUCUUGUACCACUGCCUUUCCCUUUCAUCAUCUCUGCAAGAUCAUGAAUACCAGGGCCUUGUCUAAUAUUGACCAAUAAAAUCGAUCUUAUGCUUAUAUUGUCCGGAAGACCUUUCUUUUUUUGUUUGCCAUUGCCUUCAUCAAAACUCCUGCUGAGGUAGCGCGAGAGACCAGCAGAUGUAAGCCCCACGAGGACAUCAUUUACCGUACAGCCCAUUGCAUUUUUUAUGGCCUUGACAUCAUCGAGGCUCACACUCCGGUACACGAAUCUUUUCUGGCGGAACUCUACACCAUCUGUUCCCUUGAGCAGGGUUUUGGGGUCUUGUGAGAAAGAGCUGGUAGCCGUAAAGAUGAUAAAGUCAACCACUGAGUGCCAUAGAAGCACUAAUACUGCCCAGAAACGCAGCAGGAAUGCCAAAAGGCAGUGGUGUUUGCAUGGAGUCCGCCCUUUGGCCACUGGCACAGUUGGGAGGGACUCUGGAUCAGAGAUCUUGCGGCUGCUUGCAAGGAGAAGAGAAAUGAGAGAUACUCCGUCACCGAGGGAAUGGUGGACGCGUAGGACGGCUACCGCCUCUGCAUCGGAGGUGCGGAUGUUGAGGAGAUGGAACUCCCAGAGGGGGCGGGUGAGGUCCAUAGGGCUGGUUGAGAGGGAGGACAAGUAGUCCUCCACAAGUUUGUCUGGGGAAGUGGUGGCAGGUCCUAAGUUCAUAUCCGGCACCACUAUGUGUUCAUCGAUCACCACCUUGGUCCUGACCCAGAUGGGCUUUUUGCGUCCAUUGGAUACCAGGAUGCUAGAGAAACGGGGAUGGUGAAUAACGGUAGACACCAGCCCAUCUUUGAAUUUCUCAAGGUCUAUCUUCUUUCCCAUUCCCAGUACUGCAAUAAUACGACAAUUCAUGUUGGGCUGGUGGAACAACCUUGACGCCGGGCUCAGCGGCUCCUCCUCGACAGUGAACUUGCUGUCGACCAUCUCUCCCACUUUUUUAGUUUUAAUAGAGAAUAAAGUUGGACUCGGUUCCCGCCGCUUGCUCAUCGUG